GCAAUAUUGACUAAAGAGUCAAUGAGAUGCUGGGGAAAUUAACGUUGCACACUUGAUACACUUAGAAAUGCCAUUAGCUGGAAACUCAGCUAAUUCUACAGAAUGGGGGUAUGGAGACAGUGUGAGUUAGGAGCAAAGACAGUGUUCAACAAGGUGGGUGAGUAGCUUCAGCUGCCACUGGAUUUUGCAUGAUGCACGGAGAGUGAGGCAGUCUGGCCUCAGGCCCCAGUUUUGCAAUGAGUGGAACAAACUGCACAACUGGAGCACUAAUUUUUUUAAAAAGAAAUCAUUGAUUGCUCUCAGGCCUACUUGGCAAUGCUGUUCUUUUCUCCAGUCUCCUAAUAUAUUUCACAGCAGAUGCGUACCUGAACAAUGACCCCUUUAUAAAAACUGCUUACGAAUAAAGAAUCUGCCCCCACCUAUACUAUUCUUUUUUUUUUCUUUCUUCCUUUUUCUUUUUUUUCUUAUUUUUCUUUUUUUUUUCUCUCUUUUUCUUUUUUUUUUUUUUUUUAAUUUCUCAGAAAAAGCUAUUUCAUAGCUAUCUACUGUUUUUUGGGGGAGUUUAUAACUGAUCUCAGGAGACACGUGGGAUCUGAUUUGUCAACAGAUCAGGAAAAAGCUAUAACUAAACAAUACAAUAGUAACCCAGAAGAAACACUUUCAAGAUAAAGAAAAAUCCUUUCACCCAUUUUAAAUAUGGCUCAGUAACAGACACAAAAUUAAAGAUACAGAGCUUAUGAUGGAUACAUCAGAUCUAAUUGCUGGUGUAUGAAGGAUGCUGCCCUUAUGCAGUGACUGCAUGCACACAGGAUGAUUUUUCUGUAGUACUUCUGUGUAGGGAGUUUGGGCCAAGGUGGAUCACUCUCAGUUUAUUUGUAGGUCAGCUGUCAAUAUUUUAUUUUUGGAGCACCUCCUCUCACCCUGUGCUUUUCCAGCCUUCUCUCUUUCCCUUGUACCACAAUUACUCAUGUGUCAGGGCAGUCAACAGGCUGAGCUGCUGGUUCUUUUUCUGAGCCUCUCUGUUUUCUCUCAUUUUCUGACAUUCUUAGCAUGAAUAGGUGUGCUAAGUUAAUUACGCUAAUCUAUCUAGCAAAACACCCAACGUAUAUAUUUGAAACUAAUUAGAUAAACUUCAAAAUGGGUCAUUUCUCAGCCCCUCAGCCUCCUCCUGCUUAUAAGCAUUACCCCUGAAGGGAUUUUUCUCAAUCAGGUAGACAUUUCUGGGAAUGAGAUCUAAUGAAUCCCUUUACCUCCUGAACUGAAAACCUCUUUUCAUUGGGACUCAAGCAACUGAGGACAAAUUCAGGCAUGGCAGAAGCAGGAGCUCUCCCAAGGCAACAGUACUGCUCCUUUCUGCCUAAACUAGGUUUGACAGAGCCUACUGACAGAAGGCCAAAACCUGUCUGAGCAAAAGUGUUGCAGGAUCCUUUCUUGUCUGCUAAAGAAAGCUUCUCAUACUGGCCUGCCAACGAGGAGGCUGGAGGUCCACAAGAAGAUGGGAGGAGACACAGCCAGGAUAGUUGACCCCAGCUGAUUAAAAGGAAAUUCCAUGUCAUAUGGGAACUGCUGCUCAGGCAUUGGCUGGGUGUCACUCAGCAAGAGGCUUUCCCACAUCUCCAAAGCAGAAGAGAGGAGAUGCUGCCCCUGAACUGCACCAUGCUGAGCUUGGAAACGCAGCCCUGCAACAUGGAGCUGUAGAGCUUCUGGCUGGGCAGCAGAGGAGCCAAUAUUGCUGCUGCUGGAAAUGCAUGGGAACAGAUUUGCCAUGAAGCUGUGUGUGUAAGGCAAAAAAAUCACUGAACCAGUAAAACUGACACAGGCCUUUUGUUUUCUCUCACUCCAGAAGAAAAGCAUAACACGUGCCGGCUGUGUGCAACCCACUGAGGCUCAAUUGUUCCCUGAGACAAGAACACAGAUGAGCUUCCCGUACUGCUUCCCCCAUCUCUUUUCUUGCUCUGCUGCUGUAAUUUUAGAGGUGGAAGCAGAUGAAAAAGGUUUUUCCAUUGUAACACAAGGUCUUUUUUUCUAUUGCCUGCCACAAGUGUAAUGUCUUGUUAUUUUCUGUUCCUUUAGCUUCCAGAAUGAGCUCUGAAGGAGCUCCCUAAUGAUAACAAACCAUCACUGCUGUAAUAUUGAUACCUGUUGUAAUCACUGGCAUUCUGGCUUUUCAAUUUUCACUAUUUGCUUUGGAUCAAGUAGCUCUGUGCUAAUGCAACAGAAGGUCACCAGAUGAAGGGGCUGAUAACAGAGAGGGACUGUUCUACUUAACAUGCAUGGAGGAUUAUGCUUUUCAGUCGUCCUCGAGCUAAUCUUUCAAGUUGUCCUUUUUUGACUUUCUCAGUUUAAUCAGUUUAAUCUCAUCUUCCCUCUUUUCUGAUUACAAGGAUUUUCUGUAGAAACCUUGCCUCCACAAUAAGGACCACGUGGCAAUUUAUUCUUAUAUUGAUUUCAACAUCUUUUUUCCACUACCAGGGCUCUGAUGCAAGGGGGGAGGGUGGAAGCCAGAGGGGAAAGAGGGUCCCUUUAGUGCCUCCUGCCUAGCAAAUCCUCACUUUUUUAUUAUCUUGGAAUCUGAAUACUUCUUUAAUACACUUGAAAUCAGAAAUGGCAGCUGAAUUGGAAAUACGUAACCAUGAUUAAAAGUUAGGGGAGACAGUAAGAGCGAUAAAGCAUAAUCACAAGAUGAGCUAAAUCGAGGGCACAAGUAAUCAAACUGUUCAGGCCACAUUUUCCAAGGGGCUCUUUCAUGGUUGCCAUCACAACUGUUUACCCAGCAGAACAUAGCAUUUCUUGUCCCACAGGUGGGGAAACCAGAUGCAAGAUCCAGGGAGUUAGACAAAAUGGGCAGUCUGCACAUGCAUUUGUGCACGCAGAUUUGACUGCAGAGGAAGACUUCUUCUGUGUCUUUAUAUAUCUCUCCAGGACAGGAGGAUUGGCAUUUUACCUAAUUAUGUCUGCAAAAUGUAUAGUAAGAAAAGAGAAAAGAAAGCAAAGGGCAACAUGUUUUUCCAAUGUACACACUAACUAACCUUUGAGUCAGAAUGCUCAGGCAGCUUUAGUGAAUAGCCAAGCAGGGAAUAGGCAGCUCCACACCGAGAAUAAGCUGAUUCUGUCCAAAAAUCAAGUAAGAGAUGAUUGCCACCUUGCCGUUGUACCAAAUAAGUAAGGGAGGAAGUGUCCCAAGCUCCCACCCCUUCGGUUGCUUCUGCUCUAGACACCACCUCUUCAUCAUAUCUUCAUAGUCUCUCAUUGCACAGACAUCUGAAAUGUCUAUCUGUAGACUCACUCUUCCCCAGACACACACACUUCUUGACCUGUGAGUAACACAACAGCAGCAAGGGGGGAUCUGAUGCAAUGGGCUGGCAUAUCUGUUUAGCCCUGUAAGCCUGCUCUGUAUUUCCUACAAGUAAUGAAGGAUUUUGCUUUCUCUUCAGGAUUCCUGGAGAUAAUGAUAUACCAUAGCCAGCGGAGGUGAACAUCUGUUUUAAGAACUGUGAACUUAGAGAGAUCAUUUGUCUAUUUGAUCUUCCUUUCCUGUUUUUCAGUGUGCCCUAUCCAUUUCUCUGUUAAUUAAAUAUAUGUGAAAUCACUAAACCACUGGGUCGAAGAAACAAUUAAACAACAACUGAAAUAAAAAAGUGGGAGGGAGGAGACUCUUCUCUUUUUUUCCUCUCAUUUUGUUCUGCUAAAUAGAAAUUGCCCUACUUUUUGAGUGCGCACUUUGUUUUUCUUUCAUAGAAGACUUGGAUUCAUGAGGGCAUAUCCACCUAAUGACAACAUGGUGGAGUUAACCCAAGAGAACAAUGCAUCCCAUUAAUCUGCUUAUCCUUAAUUGGUAAGACAGUAUGGGGCUGGCAUUUCAAAGGCAGACUGUAAAUGUACUUGGAUUGGUUGCUAUUUAAUUGAUGCAACUGGCACACAUAUAGACGUACCCUAAAGAAGACAGUGAGAGUAAGCAACCAGAAGUUAUUAUGAGCCAUUUUUUCCUUUUUAAUAUUACUUUUAGUGGCUAUAGUAAAAAAAAAAUAAGCAUGAAGCUACUGGCACAAGCCUCUGUACAUGCUGAGGAGAAAAGAUCAUCUCUCCACUGCUUUGCCCAGCACCUUGCAGAAGCCUGGACCUGGGCAGCCUGGGAGCUGUGGGACGUGGCAGAGCCAGCAAUCACUGCUGCAGUCCCCUCAGCUUACCUUGUGCCUCUUUUUCACACAAGUGUGUGAGCAAUCGUCUGCUCCUCUGGGAGCUCAGCAGGGAAAGGGGGAAACAUGUGACCCAACCAUGCUCCAACUGCACCUCUGCUUCUGCUCUCUGCUAGAUAGGAGGAAGAAUAUGAGGAGAAACUUCUUUACUUUGAGGGUGACAGAGCACUGGAACAGGUUGCCCAGAGGGGUUGUGGAGUCUUCUUCUCUGGAGAUAUUAAAAAACUGCCUGGUUGCAUCCCUGUGCAACCUGCUCCAGGUGAACCUGCUUUAGCAAAGGUGUUGGACUAGAUGUCCUCCAGAGGUUCCUUCCAAUCCCAACCAUUCUGUGAUUCUGUGAAGAGCAGCAGGCACCACAGGGUAGCCAUGAGACACAAGGGUUUUCCAGGAACAGCAGCAGGGAGUGAGGGUGGAAAGCAUGAAGACCGACGAGAGAGGAAGGGCUACUGCACUGCAGAGAUGGACAGAAGUAGAAUCAUGACACUGGUCACUAUGGACAGGAGCACAGAUCAGUGGAUGGCAAGCAAAACAUUUUUGUUUCACUAGCUGUAUUCGCCUCUAAACAACACUGGAGGAUGGGAGAUGGUUUUGCAAGGAGUUGAAAAUCACUCUUUUGUAAAGCAGAGCUCAACUUUCCCUGCAUGCACGAGAAAAGGAAAGACUGCUAGAAUACAACUUCUUUGGCAACCUAACAGAGACUCAUAUGACUAGAAUAUUGCCUGUAUGAAAUUAUGUCCCACAAAACUAUAAGCUAUCAUAAAAGCAAAGUGAAAAAAAGCUCUUGUGUGCUACCUACCUUACUGCCAUCACCACUCCAUAUCAUCUGCCUAUAAAAAUAAUAACUUUACCCUUCCAGAAACCUCUUGACUAAGUUGUUCCAUGUAAAUAUGAUCAGUUCUUGUGCCAUCUGACCAAAUUAUUUUUCCCACUCCAACAUUAUCAAUUGAGUGGAUGCUACAGUCACAAUCUGUGAAAUGAAUAGUACUUGUUACAGUUCUUGUAAAUAAUCAAAUAAUCUUAUUGAAUGAAUAUAGCAGAAAUUUGUCUGGUUGAGAAAUACAGCUCAUGAGACUAAAUUAUUACAAAAUAGUGUUCCCUUGAAAAAAGGGUUCAGUAGUGUGAAAACUAUAGAAAUAAGCAACAGGAAAAUGACAGCUGUCCCUACAUUUCCUUGUAUCUGCAUUUUCCUGCUGUAUGUGGCAACGGUGUAGUAAUCUUCACCUUUCUACAUCCACAGCACAGCUUGUCUGUCUCUUAUCUGGAAAAGACCAGCUCUCCAGAUGUAUUUGUUGCUCUAUCAAUUCAAAAGCAGUGUUUUGUACCUGGAGCCUGGAAGGAAAGGCAGAGGUGACAGGAACACAGGGAUGCACCUUGUGUGUAACAGGGACAUAGUAGAUGUAUAAAUGACAGUUUGAAGGGAAAUGGAAGGGGAGAACAAGGUCAGGCAGUCAUAGCACAAAUGACGCCUUUCUGUUGUUUCCAAAUGGUUAUUAUACUAUUUCAUCCUGAACUGCCUGACAGAUACCUUCUGUAUCUGAACACUAAGAGUUAGACUGCACAUUUUUUCUGGUCAGGUCUUUCUUUUUUCAAGUAAAGUCUCCCCAUCUAUUAUACUGAGAUGAAAGGGUCAGCAGAAGGUAUCCAUAAGGCUGUAGCAGCUGGAACCCAGACAAUCCUAACAGGAGAAGGUAGUGUCCACAGCACCAGGAGAAGCAAGGGCAGAGGGCUGCAUGCAGAAAGCAGCACAGUGGUUUUGAAAGGAAAACGAUCAGAGAACUUUUAAAUUGCUGAGCACAAACUGGUUCUUUCCAGAAAACUGGAUUGCAAAUAAUCCUGUCUGUAAAACUACUAGGAAAAAACAAAAAAACAAAAACCAACACCAACCAAACAGCUGACCUUAGUUCAUCUCUCCCUUUUGAGGAGAAAAAGAGCCUGGAACAGUUCUAAGACAUGCAUUUCUAUUCACGAAAGGUCCUGAUGUAACACCUGUGCCAGUGUCCAUUCUGGAUUGUGAAAUCAGCUUUGUGGGUCCAU